AACGAACGCUGGCGGCAUGCCUAACACAUGCAAGUCGAACGAAGUCUUCGGGCUUAGUGGCGCACGGGUGCGUAACGCGUGGGAAUCUGCCCUUGGGUACGGAAUAACUCAGAGAAAUUUGUGCUAAUACCGAAUAAGGUCUUCGGACGAAAGAUUUAUCGCCCAAGGAUGAGCCCGCGUAAGAUUAGCUAGUUGGUGGGGUAAAAGCCUACCAAGGCGACGAUCUUUAGCUGGUCUGAGAGGAUGAUCAGCCACACUGGGACUGAGACACGGCCCAGACUCCUACGGGAGGCAGCAGUGGGGAAUAUUGGACAAUGGGCGAAAGCCUGAUCCAGCAAUGCCGCGUGAAUGAUGAAGGCCCUAGAGUUGUAAAGCUCUUUUACCAGGGAUGAUAAUGACAGUACCUGGAGAAUAAGCCCCGGCUAACUCCGUG
rnacentral:rRNA from 1 species